GCAAUUUCUCUUUAUACAGAGACGGCGAGUUUAUCACAUCGCAACGUGCUCCACAGAAUAAAAACACGGCUACAUUUACCCAAUCAAAUACCAGUGCAGGGAAUUACUCGUGCAAAUAUACUGCACAUAUUGGCAGCCGAGAAUUCACAUCACCAGAGAGCGAGCAAGUGGGACCCUCUAUGUCGGCACGCUGGACCGGGAUGCUCACUCUAGGACUUUCAGUGGGGAUUGUCACUUUGACAGUAAUCACUGGCCUUAUACUGGGAAUCUGUGAGUACAAGAGAGUUAAACACAACAGUUCAAGAAGGGAUUGGUGAGAAGAUUUUUAUUCUAA